rnacentral:rRNA from 1 species
GGGCUUGACAUCCCACGAACCUGCCUGAAAGGGCGGGGUGCCCGCAAGGGAGCGUGGAGACAGGUGGUGCAUGGCUGUCGUCAGCUCGUGUCGUGAGAUGUUGGGUUAAGUCCCGCAACGAGCGCAACCCUCACCCCUGGUUGCCACCGGGUAAAGCCGAGCACUCGAGGGGAACUGCCAGCGUCAAGCUGGAGGAAGGCGGGGAUGACGUCAAGUCAUCAUGCCCCUUACGCCCUGGGCUACACACGUGCUACAAUGGCCAGUACAAAGGGACGCGAGACCGCGAGGUGGAGCUAAUCCCAAAAAACCGGUCUAAGUUCAGAUUGCAGUCUGCAACUCGACUGCAUGAAGGAGGAAUCGCUAGUAAUCGCGCAUCAGCACGGCGCGGUGAAUACGUUCCCGGGCCUUGUACACACCGCCCGUCACACCACGAAAGCUGUCUGUACUCGAAGUCGCUGAGA